CUUUUACAAUGAAGAGUUUGAUCCUGGCUCAGGAUGAACGCUAGCUACAGGCUUAACACAUGCAAGUCGAGGGGCAGCAUGAACUUAGCUUGCUAAGUUUGAUGGCGACCGGCGCACGGGUGAGUAACACGUAUCCAACCUGCCGAUAACUCGGGGAUAGCCUUUCGAAAGAAAGAUUAAUACCCGAUGGUAUAAUCAGACCGCAUGGUCUUGUUAUUAAAGAAUUUCGGUUAUCGAUGGGGAUGCGUUCCAUUAGGCAGUUGGUGAGGUAACGGCUCACCAAACCUUCGAUGGAUAGGGGUUCUGAGAGGAAGGUCCCCCACAUUGGAACUGAGACACGGUCCAAACUCCUACGGGAGGCAGCAGUGAGGAAUAUUGGUCAAUGGGCGCAGGCCUGAA
rnacentral:rRNA from 1 species